CCUACGGGUGGCAGCAGUGGGGAAUAUUGCGCAAUGGGCGAAAGCCUGACGCAGCGACGCCGCGUGAGGGAUGAAGGUCUUCGGAUCGUAACCCUCUGUCAGCAGGGAAGAACGGUCCCUGUGCUACUCAGCAGUGCAUUGACGGUACCUGCAAAGGAAGCACCGGCUAACUCCGUGCCCGCAGCCGCGGUAAUACGGAGGGUGCGGGCGUUAAUCGGAAUUACUGGGCGUAAAGCGCUCGUAGGCGGUAUGUCAAGUCAAGGGUGAACUCCCCGCGCUCAACGUGGGAACUGCCUUUGAAACUGGCAAACUGGAGUGUGUGAGAGGAUAGUGGAAUUCCAGGUGUAGGAGUGAAAUCCGUAGAGAUCUGGAGGAAUAUCAGUGGCGAAGGCGACUAUCUGGCACAUAACUGACGCUGAGGAGCGAAAGCGUGGGUAGCAAACAGGAUUAGAUACCCCAGUAGUC
rnacentral:rRNA from 1 species